rnacentral:rRNA from 1 species
AUUGAACGCUGGCGGCAUGCUUUACACAUGCAAGUCGAACGGUAACAGGCCGCAAGGUGCUGACGAGUGGCGAACGGGUGAGUAAUGCAUCGGAACGUGCCCAGUCGUGGGGGAUAACGCAGCGAAAGCUGCGCUAAUACCGCAUACGAUCUAUGGAUGAAAGCGGGGGGCCGUAAGGCCUCGCCCGAUUGGAGAGGCUGAUGUCAGAUGAGGUUGUUGGUGGGGUAAAGGCUCACCAAGCCAACGAUCUGUAGCUGGUCUGAGAGGAAGACCAGCCACACUGGGAAUGAGACACGGCCCAGACUCCUACGGGAGGCAGCAGUGGGGAAUUUUGGACAAUGGGCGCAAGCCUGAUCCAGCAAUGCCGCGUGCAGGAAGAAGGCCUUCGGGUUGUAAACUGCUUUUGUACGGAACGAAACGGUCCUGGUUAAUACCCGGGGCUAAUGACGGUACCGUAAGAAUAAGCACCGGCUAACUACGUGCCAGCAGCCGCGGUAACAC